rnacentral:rRNA from 1 species
UGAGGAAUAUUGGUCAAUGGACGCAAGUCUGAACCAGCCAUGCCGCGUGAAGGAUGAAGGCCUUCUGGGUUGUAAACUUCUUUUAUCUGGGAAGAAACCUCCGACUUCUAUUGGAGCCGACGGUACCAGAGGAAUAAGCACCGGCUAACUCCGUGCCAGCAGCCGCGGUAAUACGGAGGGUGCAAGCGUUAUCCGGAUUCACUGGGUUUAAAGGGUGUGUAGGCGGGCGGUUAAGUCAGUGGUGAAAUCUCAGGCUCAACCUGGAAACUGCCAUUGAUACUAUCUGUCUUGAAUAUCGUUGAGGUGGGCAGAAUAUGUCAUGUAGCGGUGAAAUGCAUAGAUAUGACAUAGAAUACCGAUUGCGAAGGCAGGUCACUAAGCGUGUAUUGACGCUGAGGCACGAAAGC